AUUGAACGCUGGCGGCAGGCCUAACACAUGCAAGUCGAACGAGUGGCGGACGGGGGAGUAAUGUCUGGGAAACUGCAUGAUGGAGGUGGAUAACUACUGGAAACGGUAGCUAAUACCGCAUACCAUCAGCUGGGCCCAGAUGGGAUUAGCUUGUGGGUGGGGUAACGGAUCACCAAGGAGACGAUCCCUAGCUGGUCUGAGAGGAUGACCAGCACCACUGGAACUGAGACACGGUCCCACGCACUUCGGGAGGUGGCAGUGUGGAAGAUUGCACAAUGGGCGCAAGCCUGAUGCAGCCAUGCCGCGUGUCUGAUGAAGGCCUGCGGGUUGUAAAGUACUUUCAGCGGGGAGGCGUUACCCGCAGAAGAAGCCCCGGCUAACUCCGUGCCAGCAGCCGCGGUAAUAC
rnacentral:rRNA from 1 species